rnacentral:piRNA from 1 species
CCGGGUGUGUGUCUCAGAGAACUCAGA